GGCAGCCGGAUAGCUGCGUCAAGGAAUGUAAGAUCCAUUGAUGAGGAAAGUCCGGGCUUCACGGAAACAAGAUACCAGAUAACGUCUGGCCGGAGAGAUCCGAGGGACAGUGCCGCAGAAAAUUACCGCCGUGAUUUAAUUACGGUAAGGUUGAAAAGGCGAGGUAAGAGCUCACCGCAUGAGCAGUAAUGUUUAUGGCUGGGUAAACCCUAUCUGAUGCAAGACCAAAUGAGGGGGCGUUUAUAUAACGCGAGGGCAGUUUCCGGCUCGCCCCAGAGGUAGGUCGCACCAGCCAAGCGGCGACGCUUGGCGUAGAUGAAUAGCUAUCGCACAUACCUUUGCCUUUAUGGUAAAGCUAUUUGUGUACAGAACUCGGCUUAUAGGCUGCCU
rnacentral:RNase_P_RNA from 1 species